AGCUCAGUUUGCUCGGCCGCCUCCUGAGAAAGCUGACACCGGCUCAUCUACAUGCCAGCAGUGAUUGGCUGUUGAGCUCGGGGAGGGUGAGCGCUUUGAAAUAGACGGUUUUCAAGAUGUGAUGGCGCCCUCAUAUCAAACCGAGUCAAACAGAAGGACUGAUGAGGGGAGAAGAGCAGCGUUUUCUCUCCCAGCGUGUCUGGAAGAAGAUGUGAAGACAGUUCAAGUCACACAUCUCUCCUGAAUUAAAGCUUGUCAGCUCGUCACCGUGGUCUUUCCAGGGCCUCUACACACAGAGUGAAGGUUUAACGAGAUAAAUCGGACUGUUCACACGGUCAAAGAUGAGCUCAAUUCCAGAAGUCCUCUUGCGAAUGUUGGAUGAUUUAGAAGAAGAUUACGUUAACAGGUUCAAGUUCCAUUUGUCUCAUAUUGGGUUCUUUAAAGGAUGCAAUUCAAUCCCAGGGGGACAACUAAAGGAAUUGGACAAUCCGGGCUUAUCAAACCAGAUACACGACACCUACGGGGAAGAUGCUCUUGAACUCACUAAAAAGGUCUUUGAGACAAUGAAUAAGAAGCGUAUAUGGGAUAAACACACCAAAAACAUCUCAGAACCU